rnacentral:rRNA from 1 species
GUACACGAGCGGCGAACGGGUGAGUAACACGUGGGUGAUCUGCCCUGCNCUUCGGGAUAAGCCUGGGAAACUGGGUCUAAUACCGGAUAUGACCAGGAGGCUGCNUGGCUUUUGGUGGAAAGGUUUACUGGUGCAGGAUGGGCCCGCGGCCUAUCAUCUUGUUGGUGGGGUAAUGGCCUACCANGGCGACGACGGGUANCCGACCUGAGAGGGUGACCGGCCACACUGGGACUGACACACGGCCCACACUCCUACGGGAGGCAGCAGUGGGGAAUAUUGCACAGUGGGCGAANGCCUGAUGCAGCGACCCCGCGUGAGGGAUGACGGCCUUCGGGUUGUAAACCUCUUUCAGCAGGGACGAAGCGAAUGUGACGGUNCCUGCANAAGAAGCACCGGCCAACUACGUGCCAGCNNCCGCGGUAAUACGUAGGGUGCGAGCGUUGUCCGGAAUUACUGGGCGUAAAGAGCUCGUACGCGGUUUGUCGCGUCCUCUGUGAAAACCAGCANCUCAUCUGCUGGCUUGCANGCGAUACGGGCANACUUGAGUACUGCNGGGAGANACUGGAAUUCCUGGUGUAGCGGUGAAAUGCGCAUAUAUCANGAGGAACACCGGUGGCGAACGCGGCUCUCUGGGCAGUAACUGACUCUGAAGAGCGAACGCGUGUGUAGCGAACAAGAUUAUAUACCCGUGGUAGUCCACGCCGUACACGGUGGGCGCUAGGUGUGGCUUUCCUUCCACGGGAUCCGUGCCGUAACUAACGCAUUAACCGCCCCGCCUGGGUAAUACGGCCG